GGGGACGUGAAGGAAGAAAGAACGGCUGGUACAGCGGAAAGAUGCCCUGCAGAUGGUACAGUUUAGGGUUUGUGUUAGACCUAGAGCCACAGCUUUUUUUUUUUAUUUUUGAGAACUCAGUCAUUUCUUUGGUCAAUAAUAUCCAAAUGAAACGUUUAAAAGCUUUACACGUGACUUGUACAUAAAGGUGGGGUGAAUUUUAGUAUAUAUGUGCAUGCGUAUAAGACUGAUUGAUCUUACAUCCUCACUGUCCUUUCAUUGUACGUAUUCGCAGUACGUAAUGAUUAGGUUUACAGUUCCAUCCUCACGUCCACUUCCCCGUCAUCCUCCUCCUCUUCUCCGGCAGUCUCCGCUCUACUUUCCUGUCCCCUAUCGCUCGGAUCGUUCAAAAGCUACACAAUGUCCCAAGAGGACUGAUUAUGAGAAAACCAC
rnacentral:lncRNA from 1 species